rnacentral:tRNA from 1 species
GAGGACAUAGCUCAAUGGUAGAGUGAAUGCUUAUUAGCAUGCAUGAGGUCCUGGGUUCAAUCCCCAGUACCUCCA